AGCUGUGCCCUGAAUCUCACUCCAGGGCCUUUGUCCCCAGCCCCCUCACAGCCCGCGUGCCUACACACACGCACACACAGCCCCCCCUGGCCCGGCCACAUGUCCACUGGGAAACGGAGAGCAUGAAUACCCCCCAAAGCCUGCAAGAAAAGCGGGGGCAGACGACAGAAGAAUUGAAGAAAGACGGGGAGAGGGGAAGGGAGUUGGGAUCUCGGAACCCUUGUUGCCUGGAAGUCUCCCUUCUGCUGGACAUAGAUGGUGGUGCCUCCCUGUGGAGAACAGGAAGGGGCAGCCAUCUUGCCAUAAACACAGGAACAGAAUCUCACGGCCUCUGAAUCCGAACAGGACACACACCACCUCAUCCAGCCACGGUGGCCACAGUCCUCAGACUGGACAGCCCCUGUGUACCUGGGAUGCGGAGAGUGACCCAAGCCUCGAUCCUGGCCAAUGAGACUGCCCAUUGAGGUGGAAAUCAUCGACUUAAUUACCAAGGCUCCCUGGCCACCGGAGGAGACAUGCAACACACAGCCUGCCUAAUGCGCCAGCAGCCGAGUUGGGGAGGCCCCUGGGAAAAAGGCCUAUGCUCCCCCAGCCAUUCUCAUGGCCUAGAAUGUUCUUUGGCACGAGAGAAGUGAAGGCUCAGGGGUCCAGUGGGGAGGGCUGGGUACCAGCCCAGAAGUAGGUCUAGCCAGGGAGGUGGAGUCCCCAAGGAACACCCUUAGGGGCCUGCUGAGUCAGAAUCAUCCCUUAUGGCACGGAUCUCUCGCCUGCUCCCUGCACACAGCUCACCCGGGACUCACCCUCUGCCGGCAAGGUGAGAGGCCUUUGAAAGGCCUAAACCAGAGAGGCUGGAGGGGCUGAAGGCAGGAGCCAGCUGGCCCCAAUCCUGUUCUCUCUGGAGUCCCUCGGGCCUUAGCCCAGCCCCCAGGUGUGGCUUGUCUCCUUCUUAGAGGCUCCAACGGCCAGAGCUCCCCACUCCCACCCCACCAUCUUGUCCCAGAGAUGGAAGAGAACAUGGGAGCGGCCCCUCAUAGCCAGAGUACCUUCAAGACUAUGUGGCACCACCAGACUGAAACUCAGGUCCGGUGGGCUCUGCCAUCCCCAUGCCAAGCAGAGGGAAGGAGGGGGUGGGAGGACAGAAGAAAGAGUGGGCGGGGUGAGUCUGUGGUGGUUUGGAUUGAGACGAGCUGGACUUACGUGUGUGACAGCUUUUCCUCUGGUCCCAACCUUAUACCUUUGGUUUUCCUGCUCUGGGCCACUAUAAAAUGAGGAUUGGGGAUGAGAUAUGUGGUUUUCAAAUGCUGCUCCCAGAGCUCUGGCACUCUAUGGUGGAGAAUCAGAGCCAUUGCAGCUCUGGUCUUAGCGUUAUACACCGACCAUCACCCCUAGGGUUUCAUUUGCAGAACCAGCCCACAGCCAAAGAACCUUUGGUCACCUCUGGGCAAGGUGAUACCUCUGAACCUUCCAGAAAUGGACAGUGCCAUGUCUGCUGCUGGGGGAGAGGGGACAGACCCAGAAGGAGGUGCCAAAGGAACUUACUUUUUUUUUUUUUUUUUUGAGACGGAGUUUUGCUCUUGUUGCUGAGGCUGGAAUGCAAUGCCGCAAUCUCAGCUCACUGCAAACUCCGCCUCCCAGGUUCAAGCGAUUCUCCUGCCUCAGCCCCCUGAGUAGCUGGGAUUACGGGCAUGCGCCACCGCGCCUGGCUAAUUUUGUAUUUUUAGUAGAGACGGGGGUUUCUCCAUGUUGGUCAGGCUGGUCUCGAACUCCUGACCUCAGGUGAUCCGCCCACCUUGGCCUCGUGAAGUGCUGGGAUUACAGGCGUGAGCCACUGUGCCUGGCAGGAACUUACUUUUUAAAACUUAGAUUGAGUCCAAAUACGUAUGUCUGAGACAUGAAGGGAUGAGACUGGCUAUGGGACACGGGCUCAGAAUGAGGAGACCCAGAGGAAAAUGUGCACCCAUGUUCACUGCUACAUGCCUAUGUGCACGCAUGUACACCUGCACACACAUGCACAUGACACACAGAGCUGCCCCUCACAGCCCUGUCUACAUGGAAGACACCAAGAGGCAUUUCCAUGCUUCUCCCUCUGAGCCCCACCCCACUCCCACUUACCACCUCUCUGGACUCCUCAAGCUGACCUAGCAGAGCUCUGUCAGGAGAUGAGGAAAAUGUCUCUGUUUUUCAAAUAUUUGGAUCUUGCUAAAGACCAACACAUUUUUUUAAGUGUGUAUAAUUUUAGGGCAAUUUGAUCCAUAUGUUUCUGAUUCUCUUGCGCUUAAAUCAUCAAAAUAUUGAUUUUUAAGAGCCAUUUGAUGUCGAAGGAACCUUUUUAAUAAGCUUUUAAAGCUCUUUAAACCCAGAGCCUGGAGCCAGGGCCAAAGCUCAGGCUGUCCACUGGCCAGUCACACCCUCCCUUCCCCUGGAUCAGGAUUACUUGGAGCUGAGUCUCACUCCCCCUCUUCCUGGCCUCCCUGCCUCCCCAAGAACUACCCAGGGGUGCUGACAGAGGGGCCCAACCCCUUCUGUUCAGACUUCUCUCAUGCUUCUUCAAAGCAUGCCUAAGACACAAACCAAGAGGAGCAGUCAUGAUCUUUACUUUUUAAUGGCUGCAUAAAAUUUAGUUGCAUAAAUGUGACAUAAGGUAUUUAACCAACCCCUGUUGAAGGAUGUUUAGGUCAUUUCAUGGUACACCUUUAUACACAUUUCUGAUUGUUUCCUUUGGAUCCAUUUCCAAAAGUAAAAAUACUGCGUCAAAAAGUAGGCACAACUUACAUCUAUCCACUCAUAAGUUGCCACGUUAUUUUCUAAAAGACUACACCAAUUCAUACCUCCACAGUCUCCUCCCCACCUCCCCACUCCCACCCCAUACUCUUGAGUGGAAUUCUCGUCAUUCCUAUUCAAAUGGUGCCAUUCCAUCUGCACAUGUGGAAGCUCUCUAGCACAGCAGUUAAGAGGAGGCUCUGGAACAGAGAGCUUGGGUUUGAAUUCCAGUUCUGCUGUUUCCUAAUUGGGAAAGUUGCUUUUUCUGUCCUUGCCUCUGUUUUCUCAUCUAUAAUUUGGGGGAUAAUAAUGGCACCUGUCACGUAAGUUUAUUGUGAGGAUUUAAUGAGAUCAUCGAUACAAACUUAAACUACUUGGAAAAGCGCCUGAUGCACGGUUUGUGUUCAGUAAAUGAUAGCUAGUAUUGUU